rnacentral:lncRNA from 1 species
UUUUUUCUUUACUUAGAUUUUUGUUAGGUCUGUACAGAGGAAAAAAAUAAUACUGAUAGAAUAUUCUCUGAGAAGAUAUAAUGCCCUCCAGCCAAUAGUUCUAGAAUAACCAGAAAUUACUUUUCAAAACCCUGUUAUUUUCUUAGAAAAUGUCAACUGCUUAGUAGCCAAGGAAUCCAAAAAAGACUGCCGAUGUCUCAUAGAUAACAUGAGCUAGACAUCCCAUGAGAGCGGUAUAGGUCUCUGUGGCCAACCCACGUGACCUGGGAGCUACCCAGAGAUCUACAAAUGCCAUCCUCCCAGGGACUGUUUGAGCCUCACUGGCAUUCAGCAACCUAACUCCCACAUUUCUGUAGAUGUGAGAAGGUGGAAGGACUCCUACUCAUCACGUGUGUGUAAAUACUCAGACAGAUUUAGUCACAGGUCUCCUCCACCUAAAUUUGGUUCUUGACGUGUGUUCAAAUUCUUUUCACACACACAAAUACACCCACCUAUUACCAUUUCUAUAAAUAAUCCCUCCUCUGCAGGCCUGGUAUGAAACUCUAAUUAGGGUUAGUCAGCAUUUACAAAGUGGUUUGUGCUUUUCUCGAGGCGAAGUUCCAGGAGCUGGAGCGCUUCACGACCAUUCCCUCUAGUGUGCCUGUGCAUAAAAGCUCUCCGAGGUCAGGGAGAGUUGUGGAGCCAGCCUGUCACAUGCAGCAGAGAGCAGGUCAGAGCACGUGUCAGAAGCCGAAUCCCCCGCCUCAGAAGCGGUCUGAAACAGCAGCAUGCAGCUGUUAAUGGAAGGAAGGAGCAGAAUAAGAACACAUUAAACCUUAAACUGAGAGAGAUCACUGUGAGAGAACAAGAGAAGUGGAACCACUUCAGAAUGAGACGUUUUGCACCUCUGGCAGUUUUCGGUCAAAGCUACUUAGACUGUGUAAGAAAACAUUCAAAAGAAGAUAACAUGCUCUCCAUAUAUUCUUGAGUCAGUCCUGGAAGAAAUUUUGCAGGUGAAGACACAGCCUCUAGUACAGUACUUGGCAUGUAGCAGGUGUUCUAGAAACAUCUGUUAGAAGGAAGGAGAUGCUCAGUGAACGUGCCCUGCUGGGCUCCAGGUCGUAAUUUAGAGCAGUGCUUUUCAACCUUUAACGUGCAAACCAGCCAUAUUCUGAUUGAGUUGGUUUGAGACAGGCCUGAGAUUCUUCAUUUCUAACCAGAUUUGAGCUGCUUCUGCUGCUACUAGUUCAGACCAUGCUUUGAG